GCCACUCGGGGCUGCAGGUCCGCCCAGAAAGGUUCCUGAGUGACGGCUGCUCGGAGAAACGCAAGCUUAACCUAGGAGUCACCUCCCUGGGAUCUACCUGCCCCUCUGCCCGAGUCAGGGAUUCCCAGAGAAUGAGCAGAGGCCACAGCCGGGAGUUCCAAAUCCUGCCGAGGUCUCGGGUUUACAAGCGCGCUCCCGAGACCCAAACCUCGAGGGUGUCUCUGGUACAUGGCAGCGAAGAGUCCUGCUGUCCAAGGUGCCAGCAGAGUGAUGGGGAAGCACACGUGGAGGGGAGAGAUGAGGGGGAAUAUGGGGUCUCCAAUGCACACAGCAAUGCUGGGAGGAGGGGACCUCGGGCGGAGGAAGGGAAACCACCUGGUUCUCACUGUUCUCGCCAAGAGAGAGCGAGACUGUGGUUGAAGUGGAGAGGGUGUCGAAAGAGAGAUGAGACUGAGUCAAGCACGGGUAAGGGAGGAUUCCAAACCCCGGUGAAGAGGUGAAGAGUACAGGAAGAGGUUUGGGGCUGGGCUCAAGAAAAGAACCGCGGGAACAGCCGACAGCCGAUGGACUCGGUUGCCAGGGCUCCGAGGGGAGCGGAAACAGCGCCUUUGAGUCACGUCAGUUGGAUUAUAAGGGUGCCUCACCGGGGACUGGCAGCGUCACGGGUGACGAGCUACUGAGGACCACCAGGCCGUCGAGAUUGAGGCGGGCGUGGCAGUUGUAGAUGUAACCGGCAGUGCCCAGAGCACCCAAGAUGAGGACCACAGCUACUACCGGAAUGACAAUACCCGGGAUAUUCUG